rnacentral:lncRNA from 1 species
CUCACAAGGACUCUUGCAAUUGCUGGGUGAGAAUCCAGGAUAACCUGCAGACUGGAAGUGCUGGGCUCUCCUGCUGGCAUGGUUGUGCUGGAGCCGCUGGUCCUGCAUCAGCUGGAGCUGAGCAAGAAGCAGUGCCAUCAGCAUGCUCCAGAAUUCUGGAUUCUACAGCUUAUGUUAAAUGGACAAUUUUGCAUAAAAGAAAAAGACAUGGCUUGCACAAAAAAAUUCCAUCCUAUUGUAUACCACCAUGUUACCAAUUGAGAAAAAUCUAUGGACCAUUGCCUUCAGGAUUCUUAAAGCACAGUAGAUGGCUGGGAUUCAACUUGUGGUGCUACCACUGACGUUCUGUUGGCCUUUGACUUGCUGAACCUCCCAGGUACUACUGCAGUGUAGAGGGAAAUAAAUAAGGGGCAUCAUGCAUGCAUCAGGAUUCUUCUAGAUGUGGCUUGUAUCACUCAAAAAUAUUUUUCAAAAGAUGUGCAUUUUUUACCUUUCUCUUGAUCCUUGCAUAUCCAGCCAUCCACUUUCAUUUUCUGAACAUCACUUUAAACCAGACACUGUUUUUGUGGACCUUAAUACGUUUUUACAGUGCACAUGAUAUUCAUCUGCGUAGCACAGAAAUGUUAAUUCAAG